UACAGAGGGUGCGAGCGUUAAUCGGAAUUACUGGGCGUAAAGCGUGCGCAGGCGGUUUUGUAAGCCAGAUGUGAAAUCCCCGGGCUUAACCUGGGAAUGGCAUUUGGGACUGCAAGGCUUGAGUGCGGCAGAGGAGACUGGAAUUCCUGGUGUAGCAGUGAAAUGCGUAGAUAUCAGGAGAAACACCGAUGGCGAAGGCAGGUCUCUGGGCUGACACUGACGCUCAUGCACGAAAGCGUGGGGAGCAAACAGG
rnacentral:rRNA from 1 species